CUGUGAAUGCCAAAGAGCUGUUUGGAAAUCCAAACCCUGAACUCUUCAAGUAAUACUACAAGAAAACUCAGAGAUAUUGUCUGAAAACGCUGUGCCAAGCUUCAUAUUUCCUACACACAAAAAACAAACAAAUGAAAAAUAAAAAAUAAUGUUUUUUCUUCUUGUUAUUAAUUUAACCUUUUAGUUUUUAUGUAAUGUUGCUGACAUACACAUGAGUAAAAAAUAUAAUUAUCCCAGUAAAUCACUGUACUGUUCACUCAAAUAAGAUUAGUGGAAAGGGAAGCUUGAGAGCAAGCACUAAAGUGAAAGACGCUGUAAAAGGAAGUUGAAACGUGCUCACAUGCCCAUGUUACAUGUGGCCAUGUUCUCUAUCUUUAAAGAAGUCCAGACAGACACACAAACAGGUUAGAGUCAAAACUAGUAACAAUGGAGGGGAGUCAGAGACCACAAUUCAUCUGUGGACUGCGAUACAUAACAAUAGGUUCAGGUGCCUUUGACUGUCCCAGACAGCCUUUUAUCUCCCUCUACAUGUCCCUGUUUGGGAUCAUACCGGUCUUCUUGGCACUGAGCUUAUGGUGUAACUGGUGCAAUGGUGUCUGUUGGUCUGUGACCACCAUCUUCUUUUGUUGCUGGUUUAUUGCUGGUAGCAUUGUCAUCUACUCCAUUUAUGAACCCAAGUACGACAAGACUACAGCACAGCCUGAUCUCUACUGCAACAAGACACUCUACCUGUUCGCAUUUUGGUUCACCAACAUGACCUACAUACUGUUAGCACUGCUCUUUUUAUCCUAUUGCUGUUGUAGACAACGAGGUGAUGGUGAUAAUGAGACUCAAACACUUGUGCGGUAAUAAAUAGAGACGAAGCAAACUUAAUUAAAAAGAUAAACAUACACUGUAAGUUAAAUGAGGGCAAAUGGUGCAUUUAAAGGCAGUUUUCCUGUGUGUCUUAUGUAGAUAUAAUCAGAUGUUCUAAUGAGCAAUGUACAUGUUUGAUCUUUUAUCAGAGAAGCAUGACAAUUUAUAUUUUAAGUAAUUAAUGUUGGAGGUUUACUUUUUUAAAAAUACUUUUGCAGCAGUACUCUGUUACGUAAUGACAUCCUUAGAUAUGAAUAAUAUCCUUUUUUCCUUCCCAUUGAUUCUCUAAUAGGUCAGUUUUAUGAGCUUGUGAGCGCAGAAAUACCAAAUGUGUGAGGCUGAAUACUGAGGAAACAUCAUAGAAAUACUUAGAGAAUAUAUUUUUUGAUCCAGUAACAAAAUCAGAGAAAACAUGGCGUCUUGAGUGAAAUGAUCAUUAAUCAUAAGUAAUACAUGUACAUAAAAAUGUCAAUGUAAAGUGUACAGUGCCUUUACAUUUCUCCAGGAAGAUCAGAAAUAGGUCCACGGAUUUAUUAAAAUGUACAAACAUCCAAGGAAACAUACAGUAUCCAAGACAAGAAAGUUUUUAUAGUUCUAACAAGCUUGAAGGUCAAUAUUUGGUAUGAUAAACUUUAUUCUUCAACAUGGGCUUUCUUUAAGUAGUCUUCAGGAAUAGUUCUCCAGGCUUCUUCAAGGACAUUCAAAGCUGCCCUUUGUUCUUUUUUUCUGUGAAGAUGAUUGUAUCCCCCUCAUUGAUGAAGAAAUACCUUUAUAAAAUAUAUAUUUUGAUCAAUCUCAACAGUCAGAGAAUGUACAGUCUGUAAUGAUUAUUAAUCAUUGGUUACAGAUGUAACCCUUCAUUGGUGCAAAGAUACCAUUUUAUGUCUGUCAUAUUGUUUUCUCUUUGCUAUUUUCAAUAGAUUCAACAGAAAAAAUUGAAAUAAUUUACGUGUUUGUGUGGCUGGCUUUGGGGUUUUUGUUAUGCAUAGACACAACACAGCCUUUUUCAUGCUUUAGUGACUCACAGAUCAGUGUUAUGUUGCUUAAUAAACAAAAAAAAAAACAUCUCUAAUUGUAAAAGGAAUGAAAAUAAAUGAAAAAGCAGCCAAUAUCCAAAGUCUGACUGCUUAGAAAUACAUCAUAAAGAAACAAGGCGUGGCUGAAGACUUUUACACAAGCUGAAUUUGAUGUAAUUUAAUGUAAUAUGUCUAUGUUAAUGUUACAAAAUGCAUGCUGUCCUAAAAUUAACAUGAAUAAAAUACUAUUUUUUAAAAUGACUGUCCUUAUCUGACACCAUCUUCUUUUAUCCUGGUCAGCUGUAAAAAGAAUGAUACUGUCAUAGUAUUUUUCACACUCAACAGUCAAUUAAAAAAAGAUUUACAGUGGGAACUAAAACAGGGAAUAUAUUUUAGAAAAACAGGCAAACCUCGUCCUGUGGAGAAAUAUGACAUAAAAAUGUUUAUGUAGCGAGGUCUUAGCGGGUUAGGACAAAUGAGAGGAAGUGUUCCUCUCCUGAGGUUUUUCUGUGACAGACACGUUGUCAGUGAUGUUUUUCUCUGGUCUGUGAAUGCAAAAGAGCUCCUUAGAAAUAAAUGUAAAAAAGAAUUUUAUGUAAUGUUGCUCACAUACAAACAAAUGAUUAAAAACACAAUUAUCUCAGUAAAUGGCUGGAUGAAAAACAAAAACAAAAACAAAAAAACAAAGUGAAAGACGCUGUAAAAGGAAGUUGAAACAACAUGCUCACAUGCCCAUGUUAAAUGUGGCCAUGUUCCUGCAACAGUCCCUUUCAAGGAAGUCCUGCCAGACACACAAACAGGUUGGUCUGCAACAGUCUGUAUAAUGCUUUCAGCUUUCACACUUUAAUUUGCUAACUAUUUUGACACAGGUACGAUGUUUACAAGCUUUCUAAAGUGGAUUUCUUAUAGAAUAUCUGUUUGUUGAACUUUUUUGGGUAUCCAAUAACUAUUCAGAUUUUAGAAUU
rnacentral:lncRNA from 1 species